GGGGGUGACUGGUUUCGACUCCGUACGUGGAGACAGGGGAAGCGAGCCGAGGAAGCCGACGUCGUCUCGAUAAUCGAUCGUCGGAAACCAAUAAGCGCCAAGCCUAACGCUGCGCGCUUCGCUCUCGCUGCCUGACGGUAGCCAGAGCGAGCUGCCGGUCCGGGACCGCCUUCGGCCCGGUUGCCGGCAUCAUUCAGAGGGCUGGCCCGAGUACUCCGGUCGCGGGGGUACGAGGGCGAGAUCAAUCAGCGACUGGGCCCGCCACACCGACUCGCUCGCGUGAUCGGAGGGGCCGAGUAGAGGCAUAGCGAGCUGCGCUCGGAGAAGCCCUGACGAAACUACGGAGGACCCGGGUUCGAUUCCCGGCACCUCCACCA
rnacentral:tmRNA from 1 species